AGUCCAUGGUGUGGGCAUUUCCUUAGCAUAGUCUUAAAAUGUUCUCACGCCUUGUAUAGGGACUCACCUUCGUAGUGUUUAAAGUUGGUAAUUUCUCGCCUAAGGAAU
rfam:Gossypium arboreum cultivar AKA8401 contig_139669_1, whole genome shotgun sequence.